rnacentral:rRNA from 1 species
GUGCCAGCCGCCGCGGUAAUACGUAGGGUGCGAGCGUUGUCCGGAAUUAUUGGGCGUAAAGGGCUCGUAGGCGGUUUGUCGCGUCGGCUGUGAAAACCCGGGGCUUAACCCCGGGCCUGCAGUGGAUACGGGCAGACUAGAGGUAGGCAGGGGAGAACGGAAUUCCUGGUGUAGCGGUGAAAUGCGCAGAUAUCAGGAGGAACACCGGUGGCGAAGGCGGUUCUCUGGGCAUUACCUGACGCUGAGGAGCGAAAGUGUGGGGAGCGAACAGGAUUAGAUACCCUGGUAGUCCACACCGUAAACGUUGGGAACUAGGUGUGGGUCUCAUUCCACGGGAUCCGUGCCGCAGCUAACGCAUUAAGUUCCCCGCCUGGGGAGUACGGCCGCAAGGCUAAAACUCAAAGGAAUUGACGGAGG